CCUACGGGUGGCAGCAGUAGGGAAUAUUGCUCAAUGGGGGAAACCCUGAAGCAGCAACGCCGCGUGGAGGAUGAAGGUUCUCGGAUUGGAAACUCCUUUUGUUAGAGAAGAUAAUGACGGUAUCUAACGAAUAAGCACAGGCUAACUCCGUUCCAGAAGCGGCGGUAAUACGGAGGAUGCAAGCGUAACUCGGAUUCACUGGGCGUAAAGAGCGCGUAGGCGGGAUAGCAAGUGAGAUGUGAAAUCCUAUGGCUUAACCAUAGAACUGCAUUUGAAACUGUUAUUCUAGAGUAUGGGAGAGGUAGGUGGAAUUCUUGGUGUAGCGGUAAAAUCCGUAGAGAUCAAGAGGAAUACUGAUUGCGAAGGCGACCUGCUAGAACAUAACUGACGCUGAUGCGCGAAAGCGUGGGGAGCAAACAGGAUUAGAUACCCUAGUAGUC
rnacentral:rRNA from 1 species